AAUUGCCCACAGGGAAAACAAUUACAAUGGAUUAUGCAUGUGACGGGGGUACAAACCCUGCACCAGGCAAGAAGGGGUUAAAGAGUAGCCUUGGGCUCAGACAGCCCUGCUCCAUCUCACUUGUGAAACAUGCCAGUCUUGGAGGAGACUCUUAAAAAGAGAGAAGCUCAGUUCAGAAGGGCCCAGCUUGCGGAGGUGGACAGAUCUUUCAUCCUCAGUUCCCAGAAAGGAGCAAGCAGAGAUCCAAGCUUUGUGUGCUUCCCAGAAACCAAACGGAGGACACAGGAAUACUGCAAAUCCACACUACAGAAGAAGCAAGAGUGACAGUCCCCAUGUGGAGGGUUGGGUGUAUUAUAAUUAAAGGCAGCGAAGAAUACAAAUUGAUCAACCACUCUGAACUCAACUUUGAGAGAAUUCUUCAUGAAUCUGAACAGAACUCCAGGUGUCAGCUUUAUAGAUUUCAACUUUGCAAAACUGGCAAUUAAAAAGGUGCAAAGGCUUGCCAUCACAACAGCAGAAUAGACUAAGUCCUACAGAACCUAAGAAGCCAACCUUGAAUGAUGGAUAAUAAGAGGGAACAAGAAUGAAGAGGCUCAGAUGAAGCCUUCAUGAAUCUUGUUUAUGCAGUAUGUUUAUGUAGGACUGCUGCCAUCUUCUUGUAUACAUUUAAACAGUACAACAUCCUCAUCUUGCCACCCUCUUAAAAUGAACGGAAAGCAUUCAGUUUUGUCAAAUCUGCAUGGAACAUGAGUGAUAGAUGCACACCACAAUGACAAAGAGGAAAAAUUUUAACCUGGAAAUGCAAGUGAAAACAGUUACUUAGAAUUUUAGGGUUAUGAAGAGAGAUUACCUACAGAUAGCCUAUACAUAGGAAAAGGAAUACACACACACACACUAAACUAGACAGGAAGGGACUGACAUCAAUAUUCUUUUAAAAUUAGUUACAUCAUAAAAAAAUUAGGUCAAGACUGAAGUUGGGGAGGGAAAAGUUCUAAAAGGUUCAGAUACAAUUUCCUAACACAAAGCAUGACUGGUUUAUCAAACACUUAAAAUCAGGCACAUAUGUAAUUGAAUAUCAACGUUCAGAAGUGAGCAAGCUACAUUUCUGAAAAAGGAAGAAAUACAAUAGUAGUGCUAUGAGAUAAAAUCUAAUCUUAGUAUUAGAAAUCUAAGUGGAUUUAACUUUCAUGAAUUCCUAAAGAAUAAUAGUAAACUAUAAGUCUUAAAAUGCCAAUAUGAUACCAUUUGGUUUCUCAGGUCUGCUGUAGCUAUAAAUAAGAUACUUAAAUCUAAGAUUUUCUAAGGUUGGGUAGUUUCUAUGGAUUUUAAUAAAAACAAAAGAUUUAU